rnacentral:rRNA from 1 species
UACGGAGGGUGCAAGCGUUAUCCGGAUUCACUGGGGUUAAAGGGUGCGUAGGCGGGCAGGUAAGUCAGUGGUGAAAUCUCCGGGCUUAACCCGGAAACUGCCGUUGAUACUAUCUGUCUUGAAUAUCGUGGAGGUAAGCGGAAUAUGUCAUGUAGCGGUGAAAUGCUUAGAUAUGACAUAGAACACCCACUGCGAAGGCAGCUUACUACACGAUCAUUGACGCUGAGGCACGAAAGCGUGGGGAGCAAACAGG